GUCCAGCUAACGAGUCCCAAAUAGGACGAAACGCGCGUCCUGGAU
rnacentral:hammerhead_ribozyme from 1 species